GUAUUGCCGAAGAGUCCCAGACAGAGAUGAAACGGCUGUCCAAUAC
rnacentral:hammerhead_ribozyme from 1 species